CUGCCAGUAGUCAUAUGCUUGUCUCAAAGAUUAAGCCAUGCAUGUCUCAGUACAAGCCAAAUUAAGGUGAAACCGCGAAAGGCUCAUUAAAUCAGUUAUGGUUCCUUAGAUCGUACCCACAUUUACUUGGAUAACUGUGGUAAUUCUAGAGCUAAUACAUGCAAACAGAGCUCCGACCGGAGACGGAAGGAGCGCUUUUAUUAGAUCAAAACCAAUCGGUGGCGGUUUCGCCGUCAUCGUACAACUUGGUGAAUCUGAAUAACUUUACGCUGAUCGCACGGUCUCGCACCGGCGACGCAUCUUUCAAAUGUCUGCCUUAUCAACUGUCGAUGGUAGGUUCUGCGCCUACCAUGGUUGUAACGGGUAACGGGGAAUCAGGGUUCGAUUCCGGAGAGGGAGCCUGAGAAACGGCUACCACAUCCAAGGAAGGCAGCAGGCGCGCAAAUUACCCACUCCCGGCACGGGGAGGUAGUGACGAAAAAUAACGAUACGGGACUCAUCCGAGGCCCCGUAAUCGGAAUGAGUACACUCUAAACCCUUUAACGAGGAUCAAUUGGAGGGCAAGUCUGGUGCCAGCAGCCGCGGUAAUUCCAGCUCCAAUAGCGUAUAUUAAAGUUGUUGCGGUUAAAAAGCUCGUAGUCGAAUUUGUGUCCCGCGCCGCCGGUUCAUCGUUCGCGGUGUUAACUGGCGUUUCGCGGGACGUCCUGCCGGUGGGCUUAGCUCGAGAGGGCGGCCCAACUCAAUCCCGCCGCGGUGCUCUUCAUUGAGUGUCGAGGUGGGCCGGCACGUUUACUUUGAACAAAUUAGAGUGCUUAAAGCAGGCUAAAACUUCGCCUGAAUACUGUGUGCAUGGAAUAAUGGAAUAGGACCUCGGUUCUAUUUUGUUGGUUUUCGGAACCCCGAGGUAAUGAUUAAUAGGAACGGAUGGGGGCAUUCGUAUUGCGACGUUAGAGGUGAAAUUCUUGGAUCGUCGCAAGACGGACAGAAGCGAAAGCAUUUGCCAAAAACGCUUUCAUUGAUCAAGAACGAAAGUUAGAGGUUCGAAGGCGAUCAGAUACCGCCCUAGUUCUAACCAUAAACGAUGCCAGCUAGCGAUCCGCCGACGUUCCUCCGAUGACUCGGCGGGCAGCUUCCGGGAAACCAAAGCUUUUGGGUUCCG
rnacentral:ncRNA from 1 species